rnacentral:rRNA from 1 species
UGCGUAGGCGGCGCGGAAAGUCAGGGGUGAAAUCCCGGAGCUCAACUCCGGAACUGCCUUUGAUACUCCCGCGCUUGAGAACUGGAGGGGAGACCGGAAUUCGACGGUGGAGCAGUGAAAUGCGUGGAUAUCGUGAGGAACACUAGUGGCGAAGGCGGGUCUCUGGACAGUAUCUGACGCUGAGGCACGAAGGCCAGGGGAGCGAACG